rnacentral:rRNA from 1 species
AUGCAGGUGCAAUGUGGUGUGGGGCGCACAUGUUACCUCUGGGCUCAUGAGGUUUAUGGUGUAGUACCUAACAUAAUGAGCUUGGCGAAGCCACUGGCCAAUGGUCUUCUCAUUGGCGUGGCCUUGGUCACGGAAAAGGUUGCUGCAGCCAUAAACUACGGUGACCAUGGAACCGCAUUCGGCGGAGGCCCUUUUGUGUGCCAUGCUACAUUGGCCACAUUGGACAAGAUCCAGAAACCUGGGUAUCUAGCAGAGGUGACUAGGAAAGGAGAAUACUUCAAGCAGCUGCUCAAAACUAAGCUGAGUGGACACCCUCACGUCAGAGAGAUCCGGGGGGCUGGUCUCAUUGUUGGCAUCGAGCUUGAUGUACCGGCUGCUCCUUUAGUCGAUGCCUGCUUGGAUGGGGGUGUCUUUGUGCCGACGACCAGGAAAGGCAAUGUGGUGAGGCUUGUGCCUACGCUCAUCGUGUCGGAGAAGGAGCUGGAGCAAGCUGCAGAGGUGAUAAGGGAAUGUCUACCUGCUCUUGAAGCAUCUACCUCUUAG